GAGUUUGAUCCUGGCUCAGGAUGAACGCUGGCGGCGUGCCUAAUACAUGCAAGUCGAGCGAACAGAUAAGGAGCUUGCUCCUUUGAAGUUAGCGGCGGACGGGUGAGUAACACGUGGGUAACCUACCUAUAAGACUGGGAUAACUUCGGGAAACCGGAGCUAAUACCGGAUAACAUUUAGAACCGCAUGGUUCUAAAGUGAAAGAUGGUUUUGCUAUCACUUAUAGAUGGACCCGCGCCGUAUUAGCUAGUUGGUAAGGUAACGGCUUACCAAGGCGACGAUACGUAGCCGACCUGAGAGGGUGAUCGGCCACACUGGAACUGAGACACGGUCCAGACUCCUACGGGAGGCAGCAGUAGGGAAUCUUCCGCAAUGGGCGAAAGCCUGACGGAGCAACGCCGCGUGAGUGAUGAAGGGUUUCGGCUCGUAAAACUCUGUUAUUAGGGAAGAACAAAUGUGUAAGUAACUGUGCACAUCUUGACGGUACCUAAUCAGAAAGCCACGGCUAACUACGUGCCAGCAGCCGCGGU
rnacentral:rRNA from 1 species